rnacentral:rRNA from 1 species
UACGAAGGGGGCUAGCGUUGCUCGGAAUCACUGGGCGUAAAGGGUGCGUAGGCGGGUCUUUAAGUCAGGGGUGAAAUCCUGGAGCUCAACUCCAGAACUGCCUUUGAUACUGAAGAUCUUGAGUUCGGGAGAGGUGAGUGGAACUGCGAGUGUAGAGGUGAAAUUCGUAGAUAUUCGCAAGAACACCAGUUGCGAAGGCGGCUGACUGGACACAUAUUGACGCUGAGGCUCGAAAGCAUGGGGAGCAAACAGG